UGGGGAAUCUUGCACAAUGGGGGAAACCCUGAUGCAGCGACGCCGCGUGAGCGAUGAAGCCCUUCGGGGUGUAAAGCUCUUUCGACGGGAACGAUAAUGACGGUACCCGGAGAAGAAGCUGCGGCUAACUACGUGCCAGCAGCCGCGGUAAUACGUAGGCAGCAAGCGUUGUUCGGAAUUACUGGGCGUAAAGAGUGUGUAGGCGGUUCGCCAAGUUUGGUGUGAAAUCUCCCGGCUUAACUGGGAGGGUGCGCCGAAAACUGGCGGGCUUGAGGGUGGGAGAGGUAAGCGGAAUUUCUGGUGUAGCGGUGAAAUGCGUAGAUAUCAGAAGGAACACCUGUGGUGUAGACAGCUUACUGGACCACUUCUGACGCUGAGACACGAAAGCGUGGGUAGCAAACAGGAUUAGAUACCCCCGUAGUCC
rnacentral:rRNA from 1 species